UACGACUGAUAGCGAAACAUAUGCUAAAGUUUUAUCGAUUUCACAAGUGUCAUUGGUGUCAACUUUGGUUAUGUUGUGUUAUUGUUUGAUUUUUCGCGUUUUUCUACUUUUCUGCUCGUGUAAUCGUAUCAGUUCUUUUCAGAACUAUAACAGUUCUUUAUAGAACUCCAAGUUAACUGUCCUGUACCGUGGUACGUGUCGCUUGCUUGAACGUAAACAUUCCACCAUGCCGAAGCCCUUGCACAAAGAUGUAAAGCAAAUGGACGAUAAUUUAGUGGACUAUUUUGCUAAAGAACGCGAUAGCGGGGAACCUCUUUUACCACUAACAGCUGUUCAAGACAGGGUUGCUGCUGCUCUGGGUGUAUGUGUGCGAACAGUGAACUCCGUGGUACAACAAAUAAAAACCGGAGAAGGUGUACAUUCUCCCAAGAAAUAGAGACCCCCGAACAAAGCAAGUGUGUGAUAUUAGCACUUCGGAGCAGUGUGCUAUUCGAGAAUGCUUAUAUGGAAUGGUCGAAGAAAAAAUACAUGUUACACGAUCGCCAUUAAUUGAUUGCUUGAAGGAGAAACAUAUAUUGGAGGGUUCUGUGAGCUCGUUAGGAAAAAUUUUACAUUCUCAAUUGGGUUUCGUUAUUCGCCAACCAGUGUACGGAAGCGUCUUAUGGAAUUACAACAUGUUGUUCAUGCAAGAACCAAAUUCUUACGUGAAUACAUGCACAAUCAGCAGAACCCAAAUUCUUUGCCAUGUGUAUAUCUUGAUGAAACAUGGAUAUUUGAAAAUGGUUCGGUAGUUAGGUCAUUGCAAGACGAUAGUGUCAUAAGUAUCAGGAUGUUCAAAAUAGAAGGGAAAAUUUAGUAAUGUGUCAGUUUCACGUUAGUUAUUUAUUCUUCUCACUAUAUUUUAGGUAUAUUGUAUUACAUGCAGGUACAAGCAAUGGAUUUAUUGAUGAAGCAGCGCUAGUAUUUUCUUCUAAUACCAAAAAUCCAGACUAUCAUGGCGAAAUGAAUCAACAGAAUUUUCUCAAGUGGUUUCAAUUGCUCAUGAACCUUGAAGAACCACCAC